GGCUCAGAACGAACGCUGGCGGCGUGCCUAACACAUGCAAGUCGAGCGAGAAAGCCCGCAAGGGUGAGUAAAGCGGCGCACGGGUGCGUAACACGUGGGUAAUCUGCCCUGAAGUCCGGAAUAACUCGCCGAAAGGCGUGCUAAUGCCGGAUAAGACCACGGGAGCCUCGGCUCCUGCGGAAAAAGGUGGCCUCUGUACACAAGCUAUCACUUCAGGAUGAGCCCGCGGCCCAUCAGCUCGUUGGCGGGGUAAUGGCCCACCAAGGCUACGACGGGUAGCUGGUCUGAGAGGACGAUCAGCCACACUGGAACUGAGACACGGUCCAGACUCCUACGGGAGGCAGCAGUGGGAAUCUUGCGCAAUGGGCGAAAGCCUGACGCAGCAACGCCGCGUGUGUGAUGAAGGUCUUCGGAUCGUAAAGCACUGUCGCGAGGGACGAAUAAGGGUUGGGUGAACAAUCCAGUCCGAUGACGGUACCUCGAGAGGAAGCACCGGCUAACUCUGUGCCAGCAGCCGCGGUAAUACAGAGGGUGCAAGCGUUGUUCGGAAUUAUUGGGCGUAAAGCGCGUGUAGGCGGCUUUGUAAGUCAGGUGUGAAAGCCCUCGGCUUAACCGAGGAAGUGCGCCUGAAACUGCAGAGCUUGAGUGCCGGAGAGGGCGGUGGAAUUCCCGGUGUAGAGGUGAAAUUCGUAGAUAUCGGGAGGAACACCAGCGGCGAAGGCGACCGCCUGGACGGUAACUGACGCUGAGACGCGAAAGCGUGGGGAGCAAACAGGAUUAGAUACCCUGGUAGUCCACGCUGUAAACGAUGAGCGCUAGGUGUUGUGGGUGUUGACCCCUGCAGUGCCGCAGCUAACGCAUUAAGCGCUCCGCCUGGGAAGUACGGCCGCAAGGCUAAA
rnacentral:rRNA from 1 species